rnacentral:rRNA from 1 species
UACGUAGGGUGCAAGCGUUAAUCGGAAUUACUGGGCGUAAAGCGUGCGCAGGCGGUGAUGUAAGACAGAUGUGAAAUCCCCGGGCUCAACCUGGGGAACUGCAUUUGUGACUGCAUCGCUGGAGUACGGCAGAGGGGGGAUGGAAUUCCGCGUGUAGCAGUGAAAUGCGUAGAUAUGCGGAGGAACACCGAUGGCGAAGGCAAUCCCCUGGGCCUGUACUGACGCUCAUGCACGAAAAGCGUGGGGAGCAAACAGG